AGAGUUUGAUCCUGGCUCAGGAUGAACGCUGGCGGUGUGUCUAAGGCAUGCAAGUCGAAUGCUAGUAGCAAUACUGGCAUGGCAAACGGGAGAGUAACACAUUGGUAACCUACCUCGAAGACGGGGAUAACCUUGCGAAAGCGAGAAUAAUACCCGAUAGUAUGUCAGAACAUAAGUUCUGCCAUUAAAGCUCCGACGCUUCGAGAGGGGCCUAUGUCCUAUCAGCUUGUUGGUAAGGUAAAAGCUUACCAAGGCUAUGACGGGUAGCGGGCGCGAGAGCGUGACCCGCCUCACUGGGACUGAGAACUGCCCAGACUCCUACGGGAGGCUGCAGUCAAGAAU
rnacentral:rRNA from 1 species